UACGUAGGGUGCAAGCGUUGUCCGGAAUUAUUGGGCGUAAAGCGCUCGUAGGCGGUUUGUCGCGUCUGCUGUGAAAAUCCAGGGCUUAACCCUGGACCUGCAGUGGGUACGGGCAGACUAGAGUGCGGUAGGGGAGAUCGGAAUUCCUGGUGUAGCGGUGAAAUGCGCAGAUAUCAGGAGGAACACCGGUGGCGAAGGCGGAUCUCUGGGCCGUAACUGACGCUGAGGAGCGAAAGCAUGGGGAGCGAACAGG
rnacentral:rRNA from 1 species